GGCGUCGUGACGGAGUGGUUAACGUGAUUGACUCGAAUUAAAACUCUUCUCUCUUUGAGAAAAGGAGGGGUGUUAAGAAAAUUAGAUAUCAAUUCCUUUCGGGGGCGCAUGUUCGAAUCAUGCCGACGUCG